GAUGAACGCUGGCGGCGUGCCUAAUGCAUGCAAGUCGAACGAACAGACGAGGAGCUUGCUCCUCUGACGUUAGCGGCGGACGUGUGAGUAACACGUGGAUAACCUACCUAUAAGACUGGGAUAAUUUCGGGAAACCGGCGCUAAUACCGGAUAAUAUAUUGCACCGCAUGGUUCAAUAGUGAAUGACGGUUUUUCUGUCACUUCUAGCUGGAUCCGCGCCGCAUUAGCUAGUUGUUAAGGUAACGGCUUACCACGGCAACGAUGCGUAGACGACGGGAGAGGGUGAUAGGCAACAUUGGAACGGAGACACGGUCAAGACGACUAAGGGAGGCAGCAGUAGGGAAUCGGACGCAAUGGGCGAAAGCAUGACGGAGCAACGGCGAGUGAGAGAUGAAGGUCUUCGGAUCGUAAAACUCUGUUAUGAGGGAAGAACAAAUGUGUAAGUAAAUAUGCACGGAUUGACGGUAACUAAUAAGAAAGCAACGGCUAACUACGUG
rnacentral:rRNA from 1 species